GACGAACGCUGGCGGCGUGCCUAACACAUGCAAGUCGAACGGACAGGCCCUGCUCUUGUGGGGUUGUCGAGUGGCGAACGGGUGAGUGUCACGCGUGUAACCUGCCCCUGUCUUUGGGGGAUCAUUACGAAACAGGGGAUCUUACACGAUAUGAGCUCCUGCUGCAUGGGGGUGUAUGGAAAGAUUCGGCGGUUGGGGAUGGACUCGCGGCUUAGCAGCCUGUUGGUGGGGUAGUGGCUUACCCAGGCUAUGACGGGUAGCCGGCCUGGGAGGGUUGCAGGGCACAUUGGGCCUGAGAUACGGCCCAGACUGCUACGGGAGGCAGCAGUGGGGAAUAUUGCACGAUGGGCGGAAGCCUGAUGCAGCAACGCCGCGUGCGGGAUGACGGCCUUCGGGUUGUAAACCGCUUUCGCCUGUGACGAAGCGUGAGGGACGGUAAUGGGUAAAGAAGCACCGGCUAACUACGUG
rnacentral:rRNA from 1 species